rnacentral:rRNA from 1 species
UGGGGAAUAUUGCACAAUGGGCGCAAGCCUGAUGCAGCCAUGCCGCGUGUAUGAAGAAGGCCUUCGGGUUGUAAAGUACUUUCAGUCGGGAGGAAGGUGGUAAGGUUAAUAACCUUGGCAAUUGACGUUACCGACAGAAGAAGCACCGGCUAACUCCGUGCCAGCAGCCGCGGUAAUACGGAGGGUGCAAGCGUUAAUCGGAAUUACUGGGCGUAAAGCGCACGCAGGCGGUUGAUUGAGUCAGAUGUGAAAUCCCCGGGCUUAACCCGGGAAUUGCAUCUGAUACUGGUCAGCUAGAGGCUUGUAGAGGGGGGUAGAAUUCCAUGUGUAGCGGUGAAAUGCGUAGAGAUGUGGAGGAAUACCGGUGGCGAAGGCGGCCCCCUGGACAAAGACUGACGCUCAGGUGCGAAAGCGUGGGGAGCAAACAGG